AUUGAACGCUGGCGGCAUGCCUUACACAUGCAAGUCGAACGGUAACGGGCCUUCGGGUGCCGACGAGUGGCGAACGGGUGAGUAAUGCAUCGGAACGUACCUUUCAGUGGGGGAUAACGUAGCGAAAGUUACGCUAAUACCGCAUAUUCUGUGAGCAGGAAAGCAGGGGAUCGCAAGACCUUGCGCUGAUUGAGUGGCCGAUGUCAGAUUAGCUAGUUGGUGAGGUAAAGGCUCACCAAGGCGACGAUCUGUAGCGGGUCUGAGAGGAUGAUCCGCCACACUGGAACUGAGACACGGUCCAGACUCCUACGGGAGGCAGCAGUGGGGAAUUUUGGACAAUGGGGGCAACCCUGAUCCAGCCAUGCCGCGUGAGUGAAGAAGGCCUUCGGGUUGUUAAAGGACUCUUUCGG
rnacentral:rRNA from 1 species